GCCGCUCAAGUUCGUGCCUCUCAAAGACGAAAUCACCGGGGACGAGUAUGAUGGCCAGAAGCGGGUGGAGAUGAGCUGUGGCCACGCUGUGGACCCUGGGAGCCUGACGGCCUGGUGCCGAAGCCUGAUGGACCAGGGCCACUUCCAGCUGCACUGCCCUGCAGACGUCAAUGGGAACAAGUGUG